GGCAGCAUAUCGCUUCGGUGAUGAUGGCGACCGGCGCACGGGUGAGUAUCGCGUUUGCAACCUACCUUUAACUGGGGGAUAGCCCGAAGAAAUUCGGAUUAAUACCCCAUAAUAUUUAGACAUGGCAUCAUGUCUUCAUUAAAGCUCCGGCGGUUAAAGAUGGGCAUGCGUGACAUUAGUUUGUUGGUGAGGUAACGGCUCACCAAGACUACGAUGUCUAGGGGGUCUGAGAGGAUGAUCCCCCACACUGGUACUGAGACACGGACCAGACUCCUACGGGAGGCAGCAGUGAGGAAUAUUGGGCAAUGGACGCAAGUCUGACCCAGCCAUGCCGCGUGCAGGAUGACGGCGCUAUGCGUUGUAAACUGCUUUUAUACAGGAAGAAACCCUUCUACGUGUAGAAGGUUGACUGUACUGUAAGAAUAAGCAUCGGCUAACUCCGUGCCAGCAGCCGCGGUAAUACGGAGGAUGCAAGCGUUAUCCGGAUUCAUUGGGUUUAAAGGGUGCGCAGGCGGGGCAAUAAGUCAGUGGUGAAAUCCUGCGGCUUAACCGUAGAACUGCCAUUGAUACUGUUGCCCUUGAGUAUAGUUGAGGUGGGCGGAAUAUGUAAUGUAGCGGUGAAAUGCAUAGAUAUUACAUAGAACACCAAUUGCGAAGGCAGCUCACUAAACUAUCACUGACGCUGAGGCACGAAAGCGUGGGGAGCGAACAGGAUUAGAUACCCUGGUAGUCCACGCCGUAAACGAUGAUCACUCGUUGUUGGCAAUAUAUCGUCAGCGACUGAGCGAAAGCAUUAAGUGA
rnacentral:rRNA from 1 species